rnacentral:rRNA from 1 species
UACGUAGGGUGCAAGCGUUGUCCGGAAUUAUUGGGCGUAAAGAGCUCGUAGGCGGUUUGUCACGUCUGCUGUGAAAACUGGAGGCUCAACCUCCAGCUUGCAGUGGGUACGGGCAGACUAGAGUGUGGUAGGGGAGACUGGAAUUCCUGGUGUAGCGGUGAAAUGCGCAGAUAUCAGGAGGAACACCGGUGGCGAAGGCGGGUCUCUGGGCCGUAACUGACGCUGAGGAGCGAAAGCGUGGGGAGCGAACAGG